GAUGAACGCUGGCGGUAUGCCUAACACAUGCAAGUCGUACGAGAGUUUUUAACUCUAGUGGCGGACGGGUGAGUAACACGUGAGAAUUUGCCUUUAGGAGGGGGAUAACAAUUGGAAACGAAUGCUAAUACCCCAUAUGCUUUUGAGUGAAAUGGAUUUUAUCCGCCUAGAGAGAAGCUCGCGGCUGAUUAGCUUGUUGGUAAGGUAAGAGCUUACCAAGGCGACGAUCAGUAUCUGGUUUGAGAGGACGAUCAGACACACUGGAACUGAGACACGGUCCAGACUCCUACGGGAGGCAGCAGUGGGGAAUUUUCCGCAAUGGGCGAAAGCCUGACGGAGCAAUACCGCGUGAGUGAAGAAGGCCU
rnacentral:rRNA from 1 species